rnacentral:sRNA from 1 species
AAUUAGCCCCGAUGGAAGCGACAUCCUUUUUUUGCUUUAAUUAAUGGCAAAAAAAGAUAAAGCGAACAGCGGGAAAAUAG